rnacentral:rRNA from 1 species
CAUUACAGAGUUAUCUAACUCCCAAACCCAUGUGAACUUACCAUUGUUGCCUCGGCAGAACCUACCCGGUACCUACCCUGUAACGACCUACCCUGUAGCGAGUUACCCGGGAGCGGUACUGUUUGGCGGGCAUCUGCCGGUGGACUUCUAAACUCUUGUUAUUUAUAGUAAUCUGAGCGUCUUAUUUUAAUAAGUCAAAACUUUCAACAACGGAUCUCUUGGUUCUGGCAUCGAUGAAGAACGCAGCGAAAUGCGAUACGUAAUGUGAAUUGCAGAAUUCAGUGAAUCAUCGAAUCUUUGAACGCACAUUGCGCCCAUUAGUACUCUAGUGGGCAUGCCUGUUCGAGCGUCAUUUCAACCCUUAAGCCUAGCUUAGUGUUGGCCGCCUACUGUAUUGUAGUGGCCCAAAUCCAACGGCGGAUCUGUGGUAUCCUCUGAGCGUAGUAAUUUUUAUCUCGCUUUUGUUAGGUGCUGCAGCUCCCAGCCGCUAAACCCCCCAAUUUUUAAUGGUUGAC